AUGCUCAUCUCCUCUGUCGUCAUGUGGCGCCGCUCCGGUGGGCCGCGUAGUGCCCUAGCACGGCUAUUUAAGCCAACCGCCGACACCGAAACCGUACACAUCCACAUUUCCCCUCUCUCGUCCGCAGCCGCCGCCACUUUUCACUCGUCGUCCGUGAUACGUCUUCAACGUAUCUAUAAUUUUUUUUUAUUGUUUCAUGUUAUUAUAGUAUCAAUUUUGGAUGUUUUAUAUGCAAUUCUAUACUUUUUUGGGACUAACCUAUUAACUCAGUUCCCAAUGCUAGUUCCUAUUUUUUGCUUGUUUUUGGCUUUUCAGAAAAUCAAUAUCGAACAGAGUCCAAAUGAAGAGAAUCUUUGGAUUAAUUUUUUCUGGACUAGAAGGGACCCACUAAGGUUCGGGAGAAGACCAGAAGAGUCAGGAGGGAGCGACGGGCUUAGGAGGCGCGCCCCGGGGGGCGCUCCUCCUAGGCUUGUGGGCCCCUCCUGGCACCUCUUGACCUAA
rnacentral:rRNA from 1 species